AUUGAACGCUGGCGGCAGGCCUAACACAUGCAAGUCGAGCGAGAGGCGGACGGGUGAGUAAUGUAUGUGGACUGCCCGAUCGAGGGGGAUACCUACUGGAAACGCUGGCUAUUCCCGCUUACCAUCGGAUAACCCAUAUGGGAUUAUCUAGUUGGUGGGGGAAAGCUUCACCUAGGCGACGAUCUCUAGCUGGUCUGAGAGGAUUAUCAGCAACACUGGGGCUAGGACACGGCCCAGACUUGUAAGGAGACAGCAGUGGGGAAUAUUGCACAAUGGGCGCUAGCCUGAAUCAGCCAUGCCGCGUGUAUGAGGAGGGCCUUAGGGUUGUAAAGGACUAUCAGCGGGGAGGCGUUACCCACAGAAGAAGCACCGGCUAACUCCGUGCCAGCAGCCGCGGUAAUUC
rnacentral:rRNA from 1 species